CAGGCAACGAGCGAGACCCACGCCAACAGUUGCCAGCAUGUCCUCCGGGAUGAUGGGGACACUGUUGGGACCGCCUCUGCUAAAGAGGAGGAAGGAAUGGGCAACGGUAGGUCAGCAUGCCCCGAAUUAUCCGGGCUACACGCGGGCUACAAUGGUCAGGACAAUGGGUAUCGACACCGAGAGGUGGAGGCAAUCUCCUAAACCUGUCCUUAGUUCGAAUUGUGGGCUGCAACUCGCCCACAUGAAGCUGGAAUCCGUAGUAAUCGCGUUUCAAAUAGCGCGGUGAAUAUGUCCCUGCUCCUU
rnacentral:rRNA from 1 species